rnacentral:rRNA from 1 species
CCCCUAGAUGUUCUGGGCCGCACGCGCGCUACACUGAACAGUUCAACAAGUCUUAACCUUGGCCGAUAGGUCUGGGUAAUCUUUGAACGCUGUUCGUGAUUGGGAUAGACCUUUGCAAUUAUGGGUCUUCAACGAGGAAUUCCUAGUAAACGCAAGUCAUCAGCUUGCAUUGAUUACGUCCCUGCCCUUUGUACACACCGCCCGUCGCACCUACCGAUUGAGUGCUCAGGUGAAUAAUUCGGACUGCAGCAGUGUUUGGAUCCCGAACGCUGCAGCGGAAAGUUUAGUGAACCUUAUCACUUAGAGGAAGGAGAAGUCGUAACA